rnacentral:lncRNA from 1 species
CAUUUCCCCCUAAUAGUCUAUCUGACAACGCUUGCCAAGCUAUGAUAAAGAGCAUGCAGAGGAUGACCCACAUAUCACAACAUUAUUAAACUUGAAAGAUGUUGUUCGCUGUCAUAAACUCAGCAGUGCUAGGCCAACACUACCACAUAGCUAAACAUCCAACAAAUUUUCAAGUAAAUUUCCACCUAUCGUUGCAUAGGCUUAAACAAGUUAAGCAUCGGCAUCUAGUACCAGUAAGUUCAUUUCCCC